CCUCACUCGUCUCCUCCCGAAGUCCCCAAUCCCCUCCUCUGCCGCCGCCGUCUCUCCUUCCAUCGCGUGGCUGGCCGCCAGCCUCCUCCCCGCCCCUCCCCCUCGCGACCGCCGGCUGCAACCGCCGUUCCGCCGGCUGCAACUCCCCGCUGUAGAUAUCCGCCGGCGUGAUCGUGAGCCUCCUUCAGCCCUUUCACGGCCGCGCCUUCACCAUCCCCAGCUGAGCUCCGCCGCCUCCUCCACCCCAGCGGCCAUACAACGCACAAAAAAGCGGCGGCCCGAGCUCUAUAUCCUCCACUGCCGCCUCUCUUUGUCGCACGCAGUAGUAGACUAGGGGAGGGGAGGGGGUUUCUGGCCGCCUUUGCCUCCUGCCGGUGCUCAGUGGCUGGCCGGUCGGCUUAGUUUCUGCGCUCCUGCAUGGACUCCGCAGGAUUCAACGCUGGUUGAGGGGUUUGGGGCCUCGGAUGCGUCACUGCCUGGAGUCGCUCACUGAUGUGUGGAGUUGCCUCGCCGCCGUGCCCAUUGUAGUUCUCAUGGUCUGACGGACCUGCAAUUUAUGGCCUCGAAACUUGGCUGAAUGCUAGAAGGUGAAGAUUGAUUGCUGUUGCAUAUUUGUUGUGCAGACUAGAAGAUGCAGGUCAAUUGGUGCCUGUAUUAUUCCCUGUGUGGCAGCGUGUUCAAUUUUAGGAAAGGGCAUAAUACUGUGAGAGGUACUAUCAUCUCAGAGCUCGACCCUGGAGAGGGAUGCAUGAAGUGACUGGUUCUUGCUAUGGGAACUUUCAGUAUUGCAAUGGAGCCAAGAAAUUUCUUUGAAGUUCAUUUUCGAUAACCUUGAGUAAAGAUGAUCAGGCCAUCCAUGAGCCAGAGACAAUCCAGCUUUUGAGAAAUAUAGUUGUAAAUUGCAUAUGUACAUAUUCUAGCUUUUUAAAAAUAUUUGUGUUCAUCUAGAUCAAUGGUUUAUCAGAUUGGUUGAUGUCUGCUCUGGAUUGGUUAUCGCCUGCUUUUGAGGAAUAGUUGUAAAUCGCAUAUAUACAUAUUGUAGCUUUUGAGAAAUACUAGAGCUCUGGUUUAUAGAUCAUAAAAGAGCUUGCAAAAUCCUCCUUGCAGAUGGUGUUAGGGUUGCAUGCCCUCGACGCUCUCCCUCUCCGCCCCGGCCAGCCCUCAAGGUCUUGAGGUGUGCAAGAUGGUGGCUGACGAAUAUGCUUGAGUUCAACACACUGAAGUGUACUUAUCGGUUUGUUAAAGAAAUUUAUGAAUCCUGGGUGUUCUAUGUAUAGGCUCUGAAAAUCAUUUGCUUACAGUGAUAUUCCACGUGAAUUUAUAUGAAUAGACAUAGGGAAUGGUGUGCAGGAAGUUAUUGUAUAAUCUGCAGCAUUACAAUAUUAUUAUCAUUCUCUCUGCAAGAAGUUCAAUUCAUUACUAUUACCUUUUGGCCCGAAUGAUUUGUCAAGAAAAAUGAUUUUUCUUUGGCCAUGUAGAGUGAAUGCUAUUCUGAACUUCAAAAGCAGUGAGGGGCUCAUUUUGGAACAAGAACAUAAUUUUUAGAAUAUACUGAGAUCAUGGUGACCAUGUAUUCUCUACACUUGGAUUUGCACCUUCUCUCUUCAGUGCUUUGAUGUGUUACAGACUGUUAAAAAUUAUUUUAGAUUUAUUGUUUGUAAAAAUGUUGUUGUGAGUUAUACCUUUUAGCUUUAGCCUUUGGUAUUAUACAUGUGUAUUUCGAUUAAUAGAUUGCUUUCAGGAUUAUGUUUUGGUGCUUUGGAUGUUCCAAUCUAUUGUUUCUUAUAUACUUAUUUAUUAUUUUUGUCACAUAGCAUUAUAGUUUAAAGGGUAGGUUUUUUUAAUACUUCCAUGUUUGAAUAAUAAACUGUUCGCCGGGGGAUAAUAUCUCUGCUUUCUUUUGAUUCAGAUGUGUAAUCCUUCAGUUUUUUGAGAUAUGCCCCCUUAUUACAAUAUUAAUAAAUGGUAUUGACGUCACAUUAAGAGAGGUAUCAGAAGGACUGGAUAGCAGAGAAAUAAAUUGAUCACAUUUCAGUUUAAACGCCACUAGAUUGUUACUAGUGUAGUGUGCUUAAAAUUUCUUAUAUGUCUCUUAUCUUUCCUCCAUUUUCCCAUGUCUCUUAUAUGCUUUGUUCAUUGGGUCGUGCUUUAGGUACAAGCAGCAUACAUGAACCAAGGAUACUAUGUAAAUUGGUAUUAACUAUACAUUAUAAUAGUUAAUGUAAACCCUUGCAGGUGUCAGCAGAAGUUAUUAUGCAUCCUCUCAUGGGCAGCACCAAAAGGCCAUAGUCGACGCUAAGUUUUGAACUUCAGAGGUAUUCACUGUUGGCCUUUCUUUUAUUUUGUGAUUGUUCACUUGACCAUAUACUAUUUUAGUUCUUAGAUGAUUCCUUUUUUGUUUACAUCCCUACCAUAGAAUAAGCGGAGGAAAAUAUUUAAAAGCACAUUAGGUGAUAUUGAGGCUAAUUCCUAUGGCCAGGUGUACGGCUAGAGGGUUUAAAUUAUUUUCUUAUCUUUGAUGAAAUUGUCCGUAUUAUCUUUGUGUGCUCCUUAUCUUUUCUCAGAUUAUUAUAUGAAAAGAAGAAACUAUAUUUUUCUUAUAAUGGCGUGAUGGUUCAGUUUUUGGGUAGCAUAGAACACUACAAAAAAGAAGGGUAACAAUACAGAGAUACAAGUAUGCGGAAAGCUGAUCAAAGGGUAGAUAACUGUCAGACCUGCUCUUGCAUCACUGGCAGGAGAAUACAUGUUAUUCUCUCUCCGCUCCUGGACACAAGCAUUGUGAUUUCAUAUGAACAGUAGAAAUUGUAGUUGAAAUCCAUUAGAGCUUAGCGCUGUUUAUCCGUACACAUAACACAACAAUAAUACUUAUGCUACAAUAUUUAAAUGCAGUCUAUAGCUUUUCUGCGAGGCAUUGUUCGCCAUGUGGUGUUGAGUGUUGCUAUCUGAUUUUUUUUUGUCUCGCUGCAGUCUAUAGCUUUUCCCAAAUGGCCAAAUCAACUGCUUUUGUUACUAGAAUAAUGGUAGAAAUUAUAUGUGAAGGUCAAGUAUGAAUUUGCAGCUGACAAUGUGAUCCUAAUGUGUAUUAUAGAAAUCAUUUGCAUCAGCUUGGUUUAAUAUUUUGAGUUACUUUGUAGUUACUUUCAUGGUUGUCAUCGUCCCAGGCCCUAGGUGAGUUCUUGCAACUAUUUAUUUCUUAUAAUCCAGGUCAAGGUUUAUCGUACUUUUAAUCAAGAUUCUGAUCUACUUGCAUUUUGUGGUAUUUAUCCUGAGACUGAAAUGGUUAUUCGAAGUAAAACAUAUUGAUGAAAUAGAAACAUGAUUUCAUUUCUCUAUCAGAAAUGUACUGUUGUAUAUCGUGUUCUGCAAGUUUUUUAUUUGCUAUGAGGUUGCUGGAUUUUUUGCUUGAUACCAUGAAAGUAAAAUGCGUAUUUCUCUAUGAAUCCCUGUGUGUUAUCAAGUACAAAAACAUGCUAUGUGAUUGUUCAUAAGAAAAAAAGUGUUUGUCCCAAGGAAUAGUUUACAAAAUAGUGGAGUAAGGUUCAGGAUGUUAGCUCUUUUAAGUUAAGUUUUCCCUUGUCAGCAAAGGAUAGGCAAUUAGUGAUAGGGAGAGCUCGUGUAUGAAGCCACCUAGAGAGAAAUCAGGUUGCGCCGUUGUACCCAACCGGUGGACGUAUUUAUAUUUGAGCUUAUUAGUAUCAUUUUCUAUUUAUUGCAUCAAUCGCUGAAGGUUAGACAUGUGUGCAUACACUGCAUUUGCAACUUGGAUCCAGAUAGGCUGGUUUGUAUCUUUAUGUAGGUCUAUAUAGUGUCACACUGCCUGCUGAAAUGGGGUAUUUUCAUAUAUUCUUCCUGUUUCUCUUUUGCAAACGAUGCAUAGCAUAGUUUUAUAUGCUAAACCUGUUUCCGGAAAGUUUUUUGUUCACAAGGAGGUUUUUGUGAUGGUUUGGAAUUAUCGUAGUGAAGGAACUAACUAUCCUGAAUUUUCUAAUUUAUGUAAACCUGAUGUAUGGAAGAGCAAUGUGGUUUGCUCUAAAUUUAGAUUACCAUGAUGUGUCUAAUAUAUUUCUCGACAUUGUAUAUGUAUGUUUGUUUGGUGCUUGCUAAUAAGUGGUUUCUAUAGAUGCUUUAUAUAGCGUUUGACAAACCGUUUCUCACUGCGGAAGUCGGCGGUCUGUUAUAUCCGUUAUGGAUAUAGAAUUAGUAAAUCAAUUAAAUUGGGUAGUUACUACCUAAAUCAGCACAGCCCCGUUGAUACGGUUUGGAAUAGGUUUCUUUGUAACUUUCAAAAUAUAUGGUGUUUAGGCUUGAACAUAUAGAUGCCUGCUUGGAGGCGGUCUCUAUCCCUUAUGGAUAUAAAUUUAGUAAAUCAAUUAAAUUGGGUGGUUACCUACAUAAACCAGCAUAGCCCCGUUGAUACGGUUUGGAAUAGGUUUCUUUGUAACUUUCAAGAUAUAUGGUGUUUAGGCUUGGAAAUAUAGAUGCCUCAUUGGACAAGCAUUACUUUUGACAAGCAAAAGUACUCUUGGUGCCUCCUUCAGUUCUCUUGUUGUGCGGCCAAAGCAAGGCACCUAAAUCUAUUCUUUUCGAUUUGUUUUCAUGGUUCAUGAGCGGUAAUUUUUUUGUCUUCUUUUUUCGUGGUGCCUCCUACACUUCUAUACAAUCGUGCACCUUCGAUUUUCACUUCUUGCCAUUUUACUUGACAUGGUUGUUGUGUUCUUUGUUGCAGGCCGUUGUCCCGUUUAAGGUUGCUGCCUAAAGGCUCUGUUGUUUUUCUGGUAGAUUUGGGAUUCAACUCUGUUGCAGCUUCAUACAGGUUGUAAGGAUUUGUUUGACAUGUUCUGGUCUUCAAAAUAUUAUUCAGGCACAAUAGAUGACACAAUAGAUAUAUCCUCAUAUACAGGAAUGCAUAACACACUGUCAUAUUUCUUCUGUCUGACCCAAAGUAUUUUGAACUGGUAAGCUUCAUGUAAGAAGAUAUAAUCAGUUGAUUUCUAUGUUCUCUUCUAAUAGAUCCACAUUAAGUAUGACAAUGUUCACA